rnacentral:rRNA from 3 species
AAUCCAUAGGUUAAUGAGGCGAACCGGGGGAACUGAAACAUCUAAGUACCCCGAGGAAAAGAAAUCAACCGAGAUUCCCCCAGUAGCGGCGAGCGAACGGGGAGGAGCCCAGAGCCUGAAUCAGCAUGUGUGUUAGUGGAAGCGUCUGGAAAGGCGCGCGAUACAGGGUGACAGCCCCGUACACAAAAGCGCAUGUGCUGUGAGCUCGAUGAGUAGGGCGGGACACGUGGUAUCCUGUCUGAAUAUGGGGGGACCAUCCUCCAAGGCUAAAUACUCCUGACUGACCGAUAGUGAACCAGUACCGUGAGGGAAAGGCGAAAAGAACCCCGGCGAGGGGAGUGAAAAAGAACCUGAAACCGUGUACGUACAAGCAGUGGGAGCCCCACCACCAAAGCAUUUGCUGUACCGCGUUGACGGAGCGAAGCGACGUCAAACCGAUAAAACAGCAGUGUAAAGUGAGCCGCAGGGCGCUUUGCGCGACAGCGCAAAGGCAGGCGGUUUCGCGUAGCGAAAGCGAAUGCUUUGGGGUGGGGUGACUGCGUACCUUUUGUAUAAUGGGUCAGCGACUUAUAUUCUGUAGCAAGGUUAACCGAAUAGGGGAGCCGGAGGGAAACCGAGUCUUAAUUGGGCGUUAAGUUGCAGGGUAUAGACCCGAAACCCGGUGAUCUAGCCAUGGGCAGGUUGAAGGUUGGGUAACACUAACUGGAGGACCGAACCGACUAAUGUUGAAAAAUUAGCGGAUGACCUGUGGCUGGGGGUGAAAGGCCAAUCAAACCGGGAGAUAGCUGGUUCUCCCCGAAAGCUAUUUAGGUAGCGCCUCGUGAAUUCAUCUCCGGGGGUAGAGCACUGUUUCGGCUAGGGGGCCAUCCCGGCUUACCAACCCGAUGCAAACUGCGAAUACCGGAGAAUGUUAUCACGGGAGACACACGGCGGGUGCUAACGUCCGUCGUGAAGAGGGAAACAACCCAGACCGCCAGCUAAGGUCCCAAAGUCAUGGUUAAGUGGGAAACGAUGUGGGAAGGCCCAGACAGCCAGGAUGUUGGCUUAGAAGCAGCCAUCAUUUAAAGAAAGCGUAAUAGCUCACUGGUCGAGUCGGCCUGCGCGGAAGAUGUAACGGGGCUAAACCAUGCACCGAAGCUGCGGCAGCGACACUGUGUGUUGUUGGGUAGGGGAGCGUUCUGUAAGCCUGUGAAGGUGUGUCGUGAGGC